UUGUGGGAUGGCAAAUUUGCAAAGACAGAGGGACUCAAAGAUUUACCGGCGGUCAGAGACAGAGAAAAAGGGUUCCGGUGACAGGCUCACAUGCAACAGCGACAGUCAAGCUCGCAGCGACGGCGACCAAGCGAUGAAUCUGUGGAAGAACAAGAAAAGAACUUAGAUCUCAUAAUGAUGGAGAGACAGAGAGCACGAGAGAGAGAGAGAGAGAGAGAGAGAGAGAGAGAGAGAGAGAGAGAGAGAGAGAGGAACUUACGGAGCUGUGCGAGCUGAGCAGCGAGGGCGAGGAGUUGUGCGACUGAACAGCGAGGGCGAGGAGUUGUGCGGCUGAGCAGCGACGGGCCGACGGUAGACGGGAAGUGAGCAACGACAGCAAGAAACAGUGAGACUAAGUGGUGACGCCAAAGAAUUGCGACGACGGCAAGGAGUUGCGGAAUGACGGCGCAAUGACCGAGAGGAGAUGAGAGGCUGAACGGAAAAGCAA
rnacentral:lncRNA from 1 species